UGGGCUGGGGCUCAGUGGUAGAGCGCUCGCCUCGCAGAUGUGAGGCCCUGGGUUCGAUCCUCAGCACCACAU
rnacentral:tRNA from 1 species